UACAGAGGUCCCAAGCGUUGUUCGGAUUCACUGGGCGUAAAGGGUGCGUAGGUGGUCGGGUAAGUCUGAUGUGAAAUCUCCGAGCUUAACUCGGAAAUGGCAUUGGAUACUAUUCGGCUAGAGGGUUUGAGGGGGGACUGGAAUACUUGGUGUAGCAGUGAAAUGCGUAGAUAUCAAGUGGAACACCAGUGGCGAAGGCGGGUCCCUGGAAAACUCCUGACACUGAGGCACGAAAGCUAGGGGAGCAAACAGG
rnacentral:rRNA from 1 species